GCAGGUCGAAAGGAACCCGAAGCCUCCGGAGCCCAGCGGGAACUCCCGCUGCGCUCCUGAGGCUUCGGGUUGCCUUCACUGAAGC
rnacentral:miRNA from 1 species